rnacentral:rRNA from 1 species
CGUAAAGGGUACGUAGGCGGUUUUUGAUUGAUAUGUGAUUUAAAGAGAACGGGUUCAACCUUUCGAAAACACAUCUGAUUAUAAAACUAGAGUUUAGUGGAGGAUUGUUGAACUGCUAGUUUAAAGUUAAAAUUUGUUAGAUUAGUCGGGCAACCUGCGGUGUAAACUACUUUCCAUAGUAAAACUGACGUUCAUGUACAAAAGUAUGGGGAUUAAAUAGGAUUAGAGACCCUAGUAGUCCAUACCCUGACCUAUGAGUGUUAAAUGGGAGAUAAAAUUAUUAACAUCUUCGUGUUUCAGCUAACGCGGAAACACUCCGCCUGGGGACUACGGUCGCAAGAUUAAAACUACAAAGGAAUUGACGGAGAUCAGUACGUGCGGUGGAACAUGUGAUUUUAAAUGCCGGUCAAUACGCGCAAACCUUACCCUAUCUUGUUCCUUUCCUUACCAAACCG